UGCCUACUUUGGCAGCCCACAUACUAAAAUUGGUACACCACAGAGAAGAUGAGGAUGGCCUCAGUGGAAGGACAGCAUGCAAAUCUGUGUAAUACCCAUAUUUUU
ensembl:snRNA U6 U6 spliceosomal RNA